AAAAACUUACACAUACCACGUUGAGAAAAAGUACAUAAUAAUAAAAAGUAGAAACGUUUGUUUUGAUGUUUUAAACAGGGAUGAAAAGCCUUAAAAUGAAACUUCAGCUUUUGGCUUUUAGCUUGAAAUUUCAAAAUUGAAACUUUUGGUUUUAGCUUUCGGCUAUCUCGAUCUUUAAAGCUUGCUUUAGCCAAACUUUUGGCUUCCAAUGGCUUUCCCUUAUAUUUUCAAUUUAACAGCUUUCAGCUAUAUUUCAUUAAGCUUUUAGCUUCAAACUUUUGGCUUUAAGCUUUUGACUUUAAACUUUUAGCUGAUACACCACCAAUUUACAAAAAAAAGGGGGGAUUAAAAAUUAGACCAGGUACAUUGAUUUCAUAUUAGUGAUAGUGGAGAAUAUUCAUUGCUAGACUUAUUUUCUUUUUUUUUAUUUCAUUAAAUCGCAUUAAAAUAAAAUUGUAUGAAAUUUUUUUUGUUUUUUUGUUUCUUCUGAAUUUAGAGAAUUCAAUACUGCAUGAAAGCUUUUGAAAAAGCCAAAAAAAUGAAACUUUUGGCUAGCUUUUGGCUUGGAAAAAAUGAAACUUGCAAACUUUUAGCUUUUGGCUUGGUGCGAAAAUCUGCUCGGCUUUCAGCUUUCGGCUUUAAGCUUUCGGCUAGCUUUUCAUCCCUGGUUUUAAAUCGAAAAUUCUUCAAAAAUUCUACCUCUUGGUUGGCUGAGCCAGAAAAAAGUUCUUUAGAAAUAAUUUUCCAAGUUUUAAUUUGCAUUAAAAAAAAAAAAUAAAAAAGUGUUAUGAAAAUGCUCGUAAGAAUUUUCAAAGUUUUGAAAAUGAGAGAUUGUUAUUUUGAAGGUAGAUAGAUUAGAUACAUGUGUAUUGGUGACAAUCCCAGAUCCCUUCUCAAAAUUGUGAAGUGUUUGAUAAAAUACCUACUAAACUAGUGCUUUUUCAUUUAGAAAUUUUGUUAGGCACCUUAUUGCUCGUAAUUUUAAUGGGUCAAUUUGUAUGUAUUUAUUUUGAAACCCAUUUUUUAUUCGGUAGGUAUUUAUUUAUUUACGUAGGUAUAGUAUACGAGUAGUUUAACCAUAAUAUCAUUAUGCCAUACUUGUAUAAUUUUUUAGUAUAUUAUUGGUAUUUUUUGUUGAAUUAUGACUAUUUAAUUCAAUAAUUUUGAAUUUUAAAUUUUUUUAAAUUUAAUUUUCAAAUCAUCGUACUUUAUAAUUUUCCAGUUUUAAAUAUUUUACACAUUUUAUCAAUGUAUUCGUAGAGAAAGCCAUUUUUUGAAGCCGUAAAUAUUCAAUUCAACGUGAAGAGAAGAAAGAACCUUUUUUUUUUGCGAUUUUUGGAAUUGUAGGAGAGGUACUACUUAUUGUAAAGGGAAAAAAAUGGCUGACGAAAUUUUUUAAUGUUAUGUUGAAAUUUCUUUCAUCUCUUCUCCAUUCAGUUGAAAAUUUACGUUUUUUGUUUUUUUUUUUCGUGUGUAGGUAUGAAUGUUUUGUAUUCUACGAUCGUAGAAGAGUUGAAUUUUUCUGGCAUGAAGUAUAUUUUGUACAGAAUCAUAUAUUCCUCUCAGAAAGUUUACUAAGAUUUGUCCAACGGUUAAUGGAAGUCAUGAACCAGAUCUCCAAACCUCAGAAGUGACAGUUGUUUUGAGUAUAGGUUGGCAGAAUUCAUGGAAAAUAAUAUGAGUAGAUGUGUGCAGAUAUUUACUAGAAAUCGUACACUGUGGUCAUCCAGCCGAAAAUCAUCAGCAUUAUUGAAAACUUCCUGUACAUCCUGUAUGCUACACAUUCAACUUGAGAAGUGGAUCCGAAUCAUAAACCAUCCCGGCGUUUAAUUCUCGUCGAUUGAUAAAUACGCGUGAUUAUUACGCGUCCGUGAGUACUUAUAUGGCACGUGUUGCAUAAUUUAAACUCCCUGUGAAGCUGAUGUUGAUGCUGGUGGCAUACGCAUCUUUUAAAUCGAUGGGUACGGUGCGUGGCUGCUGCCUCAUGGCUCAUGGCUGGCGACGUAGUCGUCGUAAAAUCUACCUACAUUUUUCAAACGAUACACCCGGCGGUACAUAGAUAUUUAAAUUCACUCUGACGAAUGAAAAGGUACAUAAUAUAUUACGAUACCUGUUCGCUGUUCGUAUGAUGAUGAUAAUCUUGGUAUAACGCGUUACUAAUUGAGGUUAUACCUAAUUGACGUGUGUUUGGUCGUGUUUCUUUGCCGAAGGGUGCACUUUGGAUGGUUCUCGUUAUUUGAUGAAGGCAAUUGUUGGAUCGAAUACUUGCACCUGGAAUGAAAACAGUUUUUACAUUUUCCUAAAUUAUUCAAGGAUUUUCUUGUUUUUACGGAUGGGCUGCUACGACUUCCAUUAUUUUCGCUACUUAAUUGGCUCUACAUAUUUUAGGUACCUACUUAACUUCUCGUAGUAUGUAAUACUUUGAAAAUAAAUGAAUUUUUUACCAUUUUUGUGAAUAAUCAGGUGCUUGCUUUCUGAAAAUUCUUCAACUUGUGUACGAUUUUUGCUUUGUUGUGUUUUCAAAUUUUUAUAAAAUAAAGUUCAAGCAAUGUUACAUCCUAAAUAUGUCUAUGUAUUUACCUAGUUGAAAAAUUCGACUUUUUGUUAAAAAUUUAUU